UUGGAAACGACUGCUAAUACCGCAUACGCCCUACGGGGGAAAGCAGGGGACCUUCGGGCCUUGCGCGAUUGGAUAUGCCCAGGUGGGAUUAGCUAGUUGGUGAGGUAAUGGCUCACCAAGGCGACGAUCCCUAGCUGGUCUGAGAGGAUGAUCAGCCACACUGGAACUGAGACACGGUCCAGACUCCUACGGGAGGCAGCAGUGGGGAAUAUUGCACAAUGGGGGAAACCCUGAUGCAGCCAUGCCGCGUGUGUGAAGAAGGCCUUCGGGUUGUAAAGCACUUUCAGCGAGGAGGAAAGGUUGAUGCCUAAUACGUAUCAACUGUGACGUUACUCGCAGAAGAAGCACCGGCUAACUCCGUGCCAGCAGCCGCGGUAAUACGGA
rnacentral:rRNA from 1 species